rnacentral:rRNA from 1 species
UACGUAGGGGCCUAGCGUUGUCCGGAUUUAUUGGGCGUAAAGAGCUCGUAGGCGGUUCGGUAAGUCAGGUGUGAAAUCUCCACGCUCAACGUGGAGGCGCCACCUGAAACUGCCGUGACUCGAGUCCGGUAGGGGAGUGUGGAAUUCCUGGUGUAGCGGUGAAAUGCGCAGAUAUCAGGAGGAACACCGGUGGCGAAGGCGGUUCUCUGGGCAUUGCCUGACGCUGAGGAGCGAAAGUGUGGGGAGCGAACAGG